GACGAACGCUGGCGGCGUGCUUAACACAUGCAAGUCGAACGGAAAGGCCUCUUUCGGGGGGUACUCGAGUGGCGAACGGGUGAGUAACACGUGAGUAACCUGCCCUUGACUUUGGGAUAACUUCAGGAAACUGGGGCUAAUACCGGAUAGGAGCUCCUGCUGCAUGGUGGGGAUUGGAAAGUUUCGGCGGUUGGGGAUGGACUCGCGGCUUAUCAGCUUGUUGGUGGGGUAGUGGCUUACCAAGGCUUUGACGGGUAGCCGGCCUGAGAGGGUGACCGGCCACAUUGGGACUGAGAUACGGCCCAGACUCCUACGGGAGGCAGCAGUGGGGAAUAUUGCACAAUGGGUGGAAGCCUGAUGCAGCAACGCCGUGUGCGGGAUGACGGCCUUCGGGUUGUAAACCGCUUUCGCUCAUGACGAAGCUUUGUGUGACGGUAGUGGGUAAAGAAGCACCGGCUAACUACGUG
rnacentral:rRNA from 1 species